GCGUGAGCGACAUGCCCGUUGCCCGGGGACAACCGGUGGAAACGCCGACUAAUCCCCGAUGGGAUAUUGUGCCGCAUGGCACGAUAUUGAAAGUUACGGCGGCGACGGAUUGGCUCGCGUCCGAUUAGCUUGUUGGCGGGGUAACGGCCCACCAAGGCUACGAUCGGUAGGGGUUCUGAGAGGAAGGCCCCCCACAAUGGGACUGAGACACGGCCCAUACUCCUACGGGAGGCAGCAGUGAGGAAUAUUGGUCAAUGGGCGGAAGCCUGAACCAGCCAUGCCGCGUGCGGGAAGGAGGCCCUAUGGGCUGUGAACCGCUUUUGCCUGGGGGCAAUAAGGGCGUCGCGCACGCCCGAUGAGAGUACCAGG
rnacentral:rRNA from 1 species